CCUACGGGAGGCAGCAGUAGGGAAUCUUUCACAAUGGGCGAAAGCCUGAUGGAGCAACGCCGCGUGCAGGAUGAAGGCCUUCGGGUUGUAAACUGCUUUUAUAAGCGAGAAAUAUGAUGGUAACUUAUGAAUAAGGAUCGGCUAACUACGUGCCAGCAGCCGCGGUCAUACGUAGGAUCCGAGCAUUAUCCGGAGUGACUGGGUGUAAAGAGUUGCGUAGGUGGCAUAAUAAGUAGCUAGUGAAAUCUGGUGGCUCAACCAUUCAGACUAUUAGCUAAACUGUUAAGCUCGAGACCGUUAGGGGUAACUGGAAUUUCUAGUGUAGGAGUGAAAUCCGUAGAUAUCUGGAGGAACAUCAGUGGCGAAGGCGACUAUCUGGCACAUAACUGACGCUGAGGAGCGAAAGCGUGGGUAGCAAACAGGAUUAGAUACCCUUGUAGUC
rnacentral:rRNA from 1 species